GUGCUCACUUCAGCAGCACAUAUACUAACAUUGGAAUGAUACAGAGAAGAUUAGCAUGGCCCCAGCGCAAGAAUAACACACAAAUUCAUGAAGCAUUCCUUAUUUUU
ensembl:snRNA U6 U6 spliceosomal RNA